UUACUGGGCGUAAAGCGUGCGCAGGCGGUUUGCUAANNCNGGUGUGAAAUCCCCGGGCUUAACCUGGGAGUGGCAUUUGAGACUGGCAGGCUAGAGUCUUGUAGAGGGGGGUAGAAUUCCNGGUGUAGCGGUGAAAUGCGUAGAGAUCUGGAGGAAUAUCGGUGGNGNNNGCGGCCCCCUGGACAAAGACUGACGCUCANAUGCNAAAGCGUGGGUAGCAAACAGGAUUAGAUACCCUGGUAGUCCACGCCGUAAACGAUGUCUACUUGAAGGUUGGGAUCUUGAAUUCUGGCCUUCNGAGCUAACGCGUUAAGUAGACCGCCNGGGGAGUACGGUCNCNAGAUUAAAACUCAAAUGAAUUGACGGGGGCCGCACAAGCGGUGGAGCAUGUGGUUUAAUUCGAUGCAACGCNAAGAACCUUACCUACUCUUG
rnacentral:rRNA from 1 species